CUGGCCUUGACAUCCAGAGAACUUAGCAGAGAUGCUUUGGUGCCUUCGGGAACUCUGAGACAGGUGCUGCAUGGCUGUCGUCAGCUCGUGUUGUGAAAUGUUGGGUUAAGUCCCGCAACGAGCGCAACCCUUAUCCUUUGUUGCCAGCGGCUCGGCCGGGAACUCAAAGGAGACUGCCGGUGAUAAACCGGAGGAAGGUGGGGGUGACGUCAAGUCAUCAUGGCCCUUACGGCCAGGGCUACACACGUGCUACAAUGGCGCAUACAAAGAGAAGCGACCUCGCGAGAGCAAGCGGACCUCAUAAAGUGCGUCGUAGUCCGGAUUGGAGUCUGCAACUCGACUCCAUGAAGUCGGAAUCGCUAGUAAUCGUAGAUCAGAAUGCUACGGUGAAUACGUUCCC
rnacentral:rRNA from 1 species